AUAUUUGACAAUGGGCGAAAGCCUGAUACAGCCAUGCCGCGUGUGUGUAGAAGGUCUUCGGAUUGUAAAGCACUUUAAGUUGGGAGGAAGGGGAUGAAGCUAAUACCUUCAAUCUUUCACGUUCUCACUAUUAUAACGACUGGUUAACUCUUAGCCCGUAGCCGCGGUAAGACAGAGUGUGCAAGCGUUAAUCGGAAUUACUGGGCGUAAAGCGCGCGUAGGUGGUUCAGUAAGAUGGAAGUGAAAUCCCCGGGCUUAACCUGGGAACUGCUUUCAUAACUGCUGAGCUAGAGUACGGUAGAGGGUAGUGGAAUUUCCUGUGUAGCGGUGAAAUGCGUAGAUAUAGGAAGGAACACCAGUGGCGAAGGCGACUACCUGGACUGAUACUGACACUGAGGUGCGAAAGCGUGGGGAGCAAACA
rnacentral:rRNA from 1 species